GGGUCACGUGGUCGUGCUCAGGUCCCGCCCCGUGCUCUCCAUCACCCCCGUGGUGACCUUUGACCCGCAGCAGAUCCCACCCCAUUGGCUCCAUUGCGGCUCUGGGGGCGGGGCCAGCGUCAGCGUCCGGAUCUGCGUGGGUGACCUGGUGACCC